UGGAGCUGCGGAACGACUAGGGGAAAGAGGGAGAAGGGAAAGAUGCCGGCUGGCAAGCAGAUGGUUGCCCCGUUUAUUGGUUUAUUCGUCGGUUCAGCCAUGACGUUCCGUCCGGCCAUGAAACAAGCCGGAGAUUCUCCUUGUGUUAGAGAGUAUCAAGCAACGAGGCUACGACUGCUCUUCCUAUUAAAACGCAUCCGCGAGCUACUUACUCGCGUUGUAUCUCCAGGAACAAUAUUACGCUAAUGAAUAUGUCUUCACGAGAUGCGCACGAGUGCUCGCUGCCACUUGCAUACGCAUUAUUUAUUACACAGCGAAGGUGUAGGAGUUUCGAUGGCGGUGCACAGACGUACGUGAAUAUAUAGAUGAUAUUCAGUAAUGGCGUCCUGGGGGCGGACGAAAUGCUCGCGGGUCGAUAGAAGGAAGGCUGCCUGCCUACGAAACCCAAAUACACUCUCCUCUUAUUGCCGGCGAUCAUCCCCACCUACAAUAGGCCUUUCUAUGAUUAUCAACAAAAUUCAAAAUGCAAUCAAUUAUAAAAAAAAUGAUAAAAGGUACACAAUACACAACUCUAGAAAAUUUUAGAGUUCAGCUAUUACAACGCAUAUUGGUAAGAUCAAUUAUGAGAUGGCACGAAGUUAGAAAUAAUUAGUAGCCAAGUUUAUUCAUAAAAAUAAAAUAAUUAUAAU